ACCCGGGCCCAGUUGGAUUCAAACUGAAAUGCAGUGGGAGCUUUGUACAUCUGUAACAGAAGAAACACCUGCAGAACAGACUGUCAGAAACUGAACCAGAGGGAGGAAAAGUCACCACUAAGAUUUGUGGAUGCAAACUCCUGAGUACAUGCUUUCUUCAGCAGGUCACAAGACUAAAAGAGGCUUGAAAGAAAUGGUUAAUCAACUGGUUAAUGAAAUCAUUACAUCAGAAUGCAACAGGACAGUGAUAUCUUCUCAGAAAAUAUUUAAAACCAUAAAGAGUUACUUGCAUCUCUGA